rnacentral:rRNA from 1 species
CAGCAGCCGCGGUAAAACGAGGGGGGCAAGCGUUGUUCGGAUUUAUUGGGCGUAAAGGGUGCGUAGGCGGUUUGCAAGUUUGGUGUGAAAUCUUCGGGCUCAACUCGAAGUCUGCAUCAAAAACUGCCGGGCUUGAGUAUGGGAGAGGUGAGUGGAAUUUCCGGUGUAGCGGUGAAAUGCGUAGAUAUCGGAAGGAACACCUGUGGCGAAAGCGGCUCACUGGACCAUAACUGACGCUGAGGCACGAAAGCUAGGGGAGCAAACAGGAUUAGAUACCCCGGUAGUCCCUGUCUCUUAUACA